UCUGUGCUUCAACACUUUAUUUGAAUAAGCACAUAGGAAACGUACUAGACAUUAUAUAAAGUAUCAAAAUAAAUAUUAUUUGCAUUAGCAUAUUCUACUGUUUAUAUUAUACUGUUUAUGCUAUUAUAUAAACUUAUUAUAUUGCAUUGUUUACAUGUUUAUAAAAUACAUGUUCAAAGACUUAUAGCAAGAUAAGGAGGAUACAAUAGCAACACAAAGAACUGUAAUGCAAGCCAGACUGGCUAAAUACUAUGAAUGUAAAAAACUGAUGAGAAUUUAGAGGAAAUUUCAAUUCCCGGUAGCUAGCAGGGAUUAGUUAAAGCUUGUGUUUGAGCCAGGUCUGUGAGAGUGGUCCGAGUUUAGACAGAGAUGCUGUGGGCCCCUCAGGUUGCAGGGACGAUGUGAACAAAGGGCACAGUCAUGAGUGACCCAGUUAUCUGCUGAUUGGAACAAAGCCUGCGUGUAAAAAGUGGGAGAGGAGAUAAAACCGGAAAGCUAAAGUCAGCAGAGUAGGAAAUGCCUCACUAGGAAUACAGACUUUAUUCAAGAGGUGACACGGCUUUGCAGCAGGGAAAGCGCAUGAUCAAAGUUAAGUUUUAGGAACAUUAAUCUGCCAGUGAUUGGAGAGUAGACGGGCCAAAAGCUGGGGAAGAAAGGUUUAGGGAGGCAGCAAUCUAGGGCAGAUCAAAAGCGAGACUGGGAAUGGAGAGGAGACCGCUAGAGAGCUUU
rnacentral:lncRNA from 1 species